UGGGGAGUAUUGCACAAUGGGCGCAAGCCUGAUGCAGCGACGCCGCGUGGGGGAUGACGGCCUUCGGGUUGUAAACUCCUUUCGCUAGGGACGAAGCUUUUUGUGACGGUACCUAGAUAAGAAGCACCGGCUAACUACGUGCCAGCAGCCGCGGUAAUACGUAGGGUGCGAGCGUUGUCCGGAAUUACUGGGCGUAAAGGGCUCGUAGGUGGUUUGUCGCGUCGUCUGUGAAAUUCCGGGGCUUAACUCCGGGCGUGCAGGCGAUACGGGCAUAACUUGAGUACUGUAGGGGUAACUGGAAUUCCUGGUGUAGCGGUGAAAUGCGCAGAUAUCAGGAGGAACACCGAUGGCGAAGGCAGGUUACUGGGCAGUUACUGACGCUGAGGAGCGAAAGCAUGGGUAGCGAACAGG
rnacentral:rRNA from 1 species